ACAAAAAACGUGGGUCACUGUGUCCGGUUCCCAAGCCUGGAGCUGAGGUCCCGUUUUUUAA
rnacentral:pre_miRNA from 1 species